rnacentral:rRNA from 1 species
GGCCAGCACGGGCUAACACAUGCAGUUCGAGGGGCAGCAUUUUAGUUUGCUUGCAAACUAAAGAUGGCGACCGGCGCACGGGUGAGUAACACGUAUCCAACCUGCCGAUAACUCGGGGAUAGCCUUUCGAAAGAAAGAUUAAUAUCCGAUAGUAUAUUAAAACCGCAUGGUUUUACUAUUAAAGAAUUUCGGUUAUCGAUGGGGAUGCGUUCCAUUAGUUUGUUGGCGGGGUAACGGCCCACCAAGACUACGAUGGAUAGGGGUUCUGAGAGGAAGGUCCCCCACAUUGGAACUGAGACACGGUCCAAACUCCUACGGGAGGCAGCAGUGAGGAAUAUUGGUCAAUGGACGAGAGUCUGAACCAGCCAAGUAGCGUGAAGGAUGACUGCCCUAUGGGUUGUAAACUUCUUUUAUAUGGGAAUAAAGUAUUCCACGUGUGGGAUUUUGUAUGUACCAUAUGAAUAAGGAUCGGCUAACUCCGUGCCAGCAGCCGCGGUAAUACGGAGGAUCCGAGCGUUAUCCGGAUUUAUUGGGUUUAAAGGGAGCGUAGGUGGAUUGUUAAGUCAGUUGUGAAAGUUUGCGGCUCAACCGUAAAAUUGCAGUUGAAACUGGCAGUCUUGAGUACAGUAGAGGUGGGCGGAAUUCGUGGUGUAGCGGUGAAAUGCUUAGAUAUCACGAAGAACUCCGAUUGCGAAGGCAGCUCACUAGACUGCAACUGACACUGAUGCUCGAAAGUGUGGGUAUCAAACAGGAUUAGAUACCCUGGUAGUCCACACAGUAAACGAUGAAUACUCGCUGUUUGCGAUAUACAGUAAGCGGCCAAGCGAAAGCAUUAAGUAUUCCACCUGGGGAGUACGCCGGCAACGGUGAAACUCAAAGGAAUUGACGGGGGCCCGCACAAGCGGAGGAACAUGUGGUUUAAUUCGAUGAUACGCGAGGAACCUUACCCGGGCUUAAAUUGCAUUUGAAUAAUCUGGAAACAGGUUAGCCGCAAGGCAAAUGUGAAGGUGCUGCAUGGUUGUCGUCAGCUCGUGCCGUGAGGUGUCGGCUUAAGUGCCAUAACGAGCGCAACCCUUAUCUUUAGUUACUAACAGGUCAUGCUGAGGACUCUAGAGAGACUGCCGUCGUAAGAUGUGAGGAAGGUGGGGAUGACGUCAAAUCAGCACGGCCCUUACGUCCGGGGCUACACACGUGUUACAAUGGGGGGUACAGAAGGCAGCUACCUGGCGACAGGAUGCUAAUCCCAAAAACCUCUCUCAGUUCGGAUCGAAGUCUGCAACCCGACUUCGUGAAGCUGGAUUCGCUAGUAAUCGCGCAUCAGCCAUGGCGCGGUGAAUACGUUCCCGGGCCUUGUACACACCGCCCGUCAAGCCAUGAAAGCCGGGGGUACCUGAAGUACGUAACCGCAAGGAGCGUCCUAGGUAAAAACCUGUA